AUGGCACCCCAGCUCUCCUCCCUUGCUGCAUCCGCGGGCAUAUGUGUAGUCUCAGCUCUCGCCUUAGCCCUGAUGGUGAUCACCCUCUACAUCAUUGGCGUUGUUGUAUCCUUUGCCGUCUUCUACAUCAGAGAGUUCACCCAGAGAGCCCAUGAUCGGCCGCCGCUCACCGGGACCGUCUUCCGGCAGCUCAACAACUUUGACAAGAUCUUCGAUGAGCAUGUGAAGUAUGCACUCCUGCACCCCACCAUUAGGCUUGUCUAUCCUGGGCACAGUGAGAUUUUAACCGCCGACCCUGCCGUCAUCGAGCAUAUCCUUAAGACAAACUUCAGUAAAUACAGGAGGGGGGCCUUCAACACGGAGACCGUGAAGGAUCUGUUUGGAAAUGUGAUUUUCGUUACAGACGGAGAGAAGUGGCAACACCAGAGAAAGCUAGCAAGCCAUGAGUUCUCAACCAAAGUGCUACGUGACUACAGCAGUGAUGUUUUCUGAAUGAAUGCUAUGAAAUUGGCAGAGAAGACCUCAGCUGCAGCAGCUAACAGAAUUACCAUAAACUUGCAGGUACUUCCUCAAUAUAAACAGUAUAGUACUGUUUACAAAGUGGGAUUCGGUUUUGACCUAAACACGCUAUCCGGAUCAGAUGAAUCCAGCAUUGAAUUCAGCAAGGCCUUCGAUGAGGCAAAUUCUCUUGUUUACCAUUAUGUUGAUAUGUUCUGGGAGUUGAAAAUGUAUCUUAAUAUCGGGUCAGAAGCCAAACUGAAGAGGAGCAUAAAGAUAAUCGACGACUUUGUGAUACAGUUGAUCCAUCAAAAGAGAGAGAUCAUGAAGAACAUAAGUGGCCAUAAAGCCAGAGAUGACAUACUAUCAAGAUUCAUACUGGAAAGUGAGAAUGAUCCUGGGACGAUGAACGAUCGUUACCUUCGUGACAUAGUCCUCAGCUUCCUGAUUGCUAGUAAAGACACCACAGGGAAUACCCUUACAUGGUUCUUCUACAUGCUCUGCAAGAACCCAGUAGUGCAGGAU
rnacentral:rRNA from 1 species